rnacentral:lncRNA from 1 species
GAGGAGUUCUCUGAAAUCAAACUCAAUGGGAAUGCCUCAGUCAGCACUGCACCUGCUGCCAAGCUUACCGACAUGAGUUCAGUUCCCGGAUCCUCACGGUGGGAGAGGAGUAACUAACUGGAGGUGUCCUCUGGCCUCCUGGGAUUUCGUGUGGGCUCAAGAGAUGUCACACAGUCUUAGCCAGAAUCAGAUCCAGAAAUGGCACACAGGGACACCGAGGACAACAGAGAAAACAUGGCUCCUGAUUCAAAAAGCAACACUCUUCUCUUGCGACUGAAACUUCACAGGGAGAAAAGCUGCUGCCGCACCAAGUUCUCUAGGGCCAGAGACUGAUGUUGCUCAGUUGUCAUGGAUCAACUGGAGAUCCAAAGGGUCCAUAUUGAAGUCUGAGUAAUGUAUGGAAAAGUGCUUUUAAAAGAAGCAUCCAGAAGAUUUAAAGUCUUCAGUCUUGACUGAGAUGUCACAGUGGUAGGCUCCAGGUGUUUCCCAGUGACAUCCUCUCCCU